rnacentral:rRNA from 1 species
UACGGGGGGGGCAAGCGUUGUUCGGAAUUACUGGGCGUAAAGGGCUCGUAGGCGGCCAACUAAGUCGGAUGUGAAAUCCCCAGGCUUAACCUGGGAACUGCAUCCGAUACUGGAUGGCUUGAAUCCGGGAGAGGGAUGCGGAAUUCCAGGUGUAGCGGUGAAAUGCGUAGAUAUCUGGAGGAAUACCGGUGGCGAAGGCGGCAUCCUGGACCGGCAUUGACGCUGAUGAGCGAAAGCUAGGGGAGCAAACGGG